GUGGGCGUAGGAUAUUUGAGAGGCUCUGCCCCUAGUACGAGAGGACCAGGGUGGACGCACCUAUGGCGCACCAGUUGUCACGCCAGUGGCAUAGCUGGGUAACGAUGUGCGGAUGGGAUAAACGCUGAAAGCAUCUAAGCGUGAAACCCGCCUCAAGAUAAGAUAUCCCUAAAGAGCAAUCUGAGUAAGGCCCCUUAUAGACCAUAAGGUUGAUAGGUCAGGUGUGUAAGUGCAGCAAUGCAUUCAGCUUACUGAUACUAAUAGGCCGAGGGCUUCAAUCAA
rnacentral:ncRNA from 1 species